rnacentral:rRNA from 1 species
GACGAACGCUGGCGGCAUGCCUAACACAUGCAAGUCGAACGAGACCUUCGGGUCUAGUGGCGCACGGGUGCGUAACGCGUGGGAAUCUGCCCUUGGGUUCGGAAUAACAGUUAGAAAUGACUGCUAAUACCGGAUGAUGACUUCGGUCCAAAGAUUUAUCGCCCAAGGAUGAGCCCGCGUAGGAUUAGCUAGUUGGUAGGGUAAAGGCCUACCAAGGCGACGAUCCUUAGCUGGUCUGAGAGGAUGAUCAGCCACACUGGGACUGAGACACGGCCCAGACUCCUACGGGAGGCAGCAGUGGGGAAUAUUGGACAAUGGGCGAAAGCCUGAUCCAGCAAUGCCGCGUGAGUGAUGAAGGCCCUAGGGUUGUAAAGCUCUUUUACCCGGGAUGAUAAUGACAGUACCGGGAGAAUAAGCCCCGGCUAACUCCGUGCCAGCCGCCGCGGUAACAC